GCUGCUCCAUGGCAGGCACCAGGAGCAGAUGACUACGCUGGUUCUGUUCCUGCGGUUGCCUGGUCAGACUCGGCUUUUGGUCCUCAGGUGGAACCUGGAGACAGUUCCACACAGGGAUUGCUGUGUAUCAGCACGGUGCCACUGCAGGCACCCUGCACGUAUGGUUGAGAUGCUGCUGCGUGGAAGGGAGAGAUGGGUGCUGUGGAUGAUCCCCCGUUGUUCC